rnacentral:rRNA from 1 species
UACGUAGGGAGCAAGCGUUGUUCGGAUUUACUGGGCGUAAAGGGCGCGUAGGCGGCGCGGUAAGUCACUUGUGAAAUCUCUGAGCUUAACUCAGAACGGCCAAGUGAUACUGCAGUGCUAGAGUGCAGAAAGGGCAAUCGGAAUUCUUGGUGUAGCGGUGAAAUGCGUAGAUAUCAAGAGGAACACCUGAGGUGAAGACGGGUUGCUGGGCCGACACUGACGCUGGAGCGCGAAAGCCAGGGGAGCAAACGGG